rnacentral:rRNA from 1 species
UACGGAGGGUGCAAGCGUUGUCCGGAUUUAUUGGGUUUAAAGGGUGCGUAGGUGGCCUUAUAAGUCAGCGGUGAAAGUCUGCAGCUUAACUGUAGAACUGCCAUUGAUACUGUAAGGCUUGAGUACUGAUGAGGUAGGCGGAAUUGAUAGUGUAGCGGUGAAAUGCAUAGAUAUUAUCAAGAACACCGAUUGCGAAGGCGGCUUACUAAGGAGUUACUGACACUGAGGCACGAAAGCGUGGGGAUCAAACAGG